UCGUCCUCCAUCACUUCAUGCAGGCACGGGCUUUUAUCUUAACCCUCAACCACCAUACCACCACUUAUUGAUUAUAUGUCAGAGGAGUGGGUAGAGAUUGGAGAGACAUAUUGAAUCAAACACCACAUUUAUAUGUCUAGAGGCUGCUGCAGCCCUUCGUUGAUCUGAAGGGGCUCUACUUCGUGGGAUACUUUGUGUUUGGUCUGGGCAUCAGUCUGAUCAACUUGAUCCCCAACAUCAUCACCACCCUCAUCCUGUCUUCGGAGUCAUGUCCAGCACCUUGUACACCAUCCCCUUCAACCUCAUCUCAGAGUACCAUCAACAAGAGGAGGUGCAGAGGAACCUGGGGAAAGGUAAUCUUGCUGGACAGGAUCGAGGUAUCGGGCAAUGGAUUGUGCAGCGCUCACGUGUAUGAUGCAGCUGGCUCAGAUCAUCGUAGGGGCGGGACUGGGUCGUUGGUCAACAUGGCAAGAAGUGUGAUUGUGGUGGUCCUCUUCACAUCAACAAUGUCUUUACUUGGUUGUCUGUUCAUCGCCGUCCACAUCAGAUACGUGGAAUCAUCUCUUUUAAUAAAGAUAUUUACGA